rnacentral:rRNA from 1 species
CCUACGGGAGGCAGCAGUGGGGAAUCUUGCGCAAUGGGCGAAAGCCUGACGCAGCCAUGCCGCGUGAAUGAUGAAGGUCUUAGGAUUGUAAAAUUCUUUCACCGGGGACGAUAAUGACGGUACCCGGAGAAGAAGCCCCGGCUAACUUCGUGCCAGCAGCCGCGGUAAUACGAAGGGGGCUAGCGUUGCUCGGAAUUACUGGGCGUAAAGGGAGCGUAGGCGGAUAGUUUAGUCAGAGGUGAAAGCCCAGGGCUCAACCUUGGAAUUGCCUUUGAUACUGGCUAUCUUGAGUACGGAAGAGGUAUGUGGAACUCCGAGUGUAGAGGUGAAAUUCGUAGAUAUUCGGAAGAACACCAGUGGCGAAGGCGACAUACUGGUCCGUUACUGACGCUGAGGCUCGAAAGCGUGGGGAGCAAACAGGAUUAGAUACCCUGGUAGUCCACGCUGUAAACGAUGAGUGCUAGUUGUCGGCAUGCAUGCAUGUCGGUGACGCAGCUAACGCAUUAAGCACUCCGCCGNGGGAGUACGGUCGCAGAUAAACUACAANAGAGUAGACGCGUGAGACGUGCCGACGGACGACGACGAGGGAGAGG